rnacentral:rRNA from 1 species
UACGUAGGGUGCGAGCGUUAAUCGGAAUUACUGGGCGUAAAGCGUGCGCAGGCGGUUUUGUAAGCCAGAUGUGAAAUCCCCGGGCUCAACCUGGGAACUGCAUUUGUGACUGCAAGGCUGGAGUACGGUAGAGGGGGAUGGAAUUCCGCGUGUAGCAGUGAAAUGCGUAGAUAUGCGGAGGAACACCGAUGGCGAAGGCAAUCCCCUGGACCUGUACUGACGCUCAUGCACGAAAGCGUGGGGAGCAAACAGG